rnacentral:misc_RNA from 1 species
AGCCAUAUAUAUUAACUUAAUCAAUUAGGAGUUGGAGGCAAACUUGUUAAUCAAAGCAAGUGCGUUGCUAGUCACCUGAGCAACAUUUACAAUUCUUGCUUUAAUCGAAGACUUCAACUUCCCAUUCAAGGCCUUACCAGCAAACCCAUCAACACAAGUGUUCUCAUCUGUCAAAGCAGCGCUAACCCAAGUCUCCACAUUGCUCAUGUGCCAUUGGAAGUCCUUAUCGUCCUUGUUCUGACCCAUGUUCUUGAACUCUUUAAGCGACUUGCUAAGCCUAUCCGCAGUGUCACCAACCUCCACUAAACAGUCCUUAAUGGCU